UCCAUUUUUGUAGGCGGAGUUGACAAAUUGUCAUCAAAUUUACAUGAAUGAACAUUAAAGUUACCGUCAAGGAUCUCAAGUCCAUUUUAGAGGGCGGAGUUGACGCCUUGUCUUCAAAUUUACAUGAAUGAACAUUAAAGGUUUAGAAGAGGUCAUCGUGGGGGGCGGAGUCAUGUGUCCCAUCUAAUAUGGCGUUUUGGCCUUUUGUCACUUCAUUUAACCGUUUUUAAGAGUACCGUCAAGGAUCUCAAGUCCAUUUUAGAGGGCGGAGUUGACGCCUUGUCUUCAAAUUUACCGAAUGAACAUUAAAGGUAUCGUCAAGGAUCUCAAGUCCAUUUUAGAGGGCGGAGUUGACGCCUUGUCUUCAAAUUUACAUGAAUGAACAUUAAAGGUUUAGAAGAGGUCAUCGUGGGGGGCGGAGUCAUGCAUCCCAUCUAAUAUGGCGUUUUGGCCUUUUGUCACUUCAUUUAACCGUUUUUAAGAGUACCAUCAAGGAUCUCAAGUCCAUUUUAGAGGGCGGAGUUGACGCCUUGUCUUCACAUUUACAUGAAUGAACAUUAAAGGUAUCGUCAAGGAUCUCAAGUCCAUUUUAGAGGGCGGAGUUCACGCCUUGUCUUCAAAUUUACAUGAAUGAACAUUAAAGGUUCAGAAGAGGUCAUCGUGGGGGGUGGAGUCAGGUGUCCCAUCUAAUAUGGCAAUUAGGCCUUUUGUCACUUCAUUUAACUGUUUUUAAGAUUACCAUCAAGGAUCUCAAGUCCAUUUUAGAGGGCGGAGUUGACGCCUUGUCUUCAAAUUUACAUGAAUGAACAUUAAAGGAUCUCAAGUCCAUUUUAGAGGGCGGAGUUGACGCCUUGUUUUCAAAUUUACAUGAAUGAACAUUAAAGAGGUCAUCAUGGGGGGUGGAGUCACUUACUGAUUCAGAGAGAGAGGAUAGGGUAAGCAAGUCAAAAGACUCAUACUGAGGAAUAAGGGGAUCAGGAUUGCAGAGAGUGAGAAAAGUCUUCAACAUCUUGUGAAACAGUUCAGAGGAAUAGGACUGAGUAUGAAUACAGGGGAAAGAAAGUAUUGAACAAAAAAUAUCUAUAACAAUAAGUUAUUUCUUAUCUUUUAAAAAUAGAUAUGUAAGAAGCUCUUCUUGUUCGUAUACAGUAUCAGAAAUUGUACUUACAAGAACUUGAGGAGGCAUUUCCUUCAAAUUGGAAUAAAACCUAGGGUUCAUGGGAACACUGGUCGCAUUUCUUGUCAUGCUGUUUCUGUGGAAGGCAUUAAAGAUGUGGUAGCAUUUUUGGAGAACUAUGCUGAAGACUACGCCAUUUUACUACCUGGGAGGAUACCUUGAGUGAGGGAUUAUGGGAAGGCCAAGCUAUUGCUGUCCAGUGUGUCCCGACGCAUGGUUUACCGGCAGUAUGCUGAUGCUGGUAGGGAACAUACUCUCUGUGAAAGUUCCUUUAAAAGAAUAUGGAGAAAGUAUAUUCCCCACAUUUACAGCAUCAAGCCAAUGACGAACUUAUGCUGGACGUGCAAAAAGAACAGCACUGCAAUUUUAAGGAAUGCUGGGUGUGAGAUUGAGCAUCAGUCUGAGAAGAAAAGGAGACAUCAUAGGGGUAAAUGGAAGCAUUGACCAGGUGGCGGGAGAGGAGCAGGAAGAGGAGGUGGCCAAGAAGGAGGAGAUGGACAAAAAAGAGGGGCAGCUGGCCAAGGAAGCGGGGGAGGUGGCCAAGGAAGCGGGGGAGGUGGCCAAGGAAGAGAGGGAGGUGGCCAAGGAAGAGGCCAAAGAGGAAGAGGAGGCCCUGCUACAACAGAUUCAUCCACAAGUGCAAAGACAAUAAACUAUUUUAACGUUACAUGUAAAGAACUUAAUUAUACUUCUAAAUAAAAAUAAUAUAUAUAUUACCUGUAAA